UACGAAGGGGGCAAGCGUUGUUCGGAUUUACUGGGCGUAAAGGGCGCGCAGGCGCUCGCCAAGUCAGAUGUGAAAGCCCCGGGCUCAACCUGGGAAUGGCAAUGGAUACUGGCGAGCUAGAGUGUGUCAGAGGAUGGUGGAAUUCCCGGUGUAGCGGUGAAAUGCGCAGAUAUCAGGAGGAACACCGGUGGCGAAGGCGGGACUCUGGGCCGAUACUGACGCUGAGGAGCGAAAGCGUGGGGAGCAAACAGG
rnacentral:rRNA from 1 species